rnacentral:lncRNA from 1 species
AAAUCAAUGUGAUUAUAUUCCAAAAAUUCCACAGGAGUGAGAUUGCAGGCUCAUUCUUAGUGAUUGUGUAGAAGAGAAGCUACAGAACUGCAAAGCUGCAGCAACCACAUGGGAAUAUCAGGGAAACAUCAACACCCAGGCAGGAUGUGGUCUGGAAAGGGGCCAGCCAGGCUGCACCACUUCUCAGGUUCAACAGCAGGGACGAGAAAGACCAAAUGGCGCCCAGGGGUCCUGCUGAAGUCAGAGGUAGAAAUCUCAGCUACAGGCUCCAGGGGACAUCCAGGAGGCCUUGAAGAGAUCCUUUCAGAUUCUUUGUGUGACUUCGCUGAACAAGGAUCUCUCCAGUGACGAUCUGACCUGAAGUCACCUCAGAAAGGUGUGUCUCUGACAUCUGAGGAAAUGGACCAGAGUCGGAAACCAGCUUGUUUCCCCCACCUCCACGUCACCUCUGAGAACUGAACCAUCAGGUACAAAUAUUGAAAGAAUCGUUCAAGAAUCUGGCUACCAAAUA